AGAGUUCGAUUCUGGCUCAGGACGAACGCUGGCGGCGCGCCUAACACAUGCAAGUCGAACGAGCAAGAGAAAGCUUGCUUUCUCGAGCGAGUGGCGAAUGGGUGAGUAACGCGUGAGGAACCUGCCUCAAAGAGGGGGACAACAGUUGGAAACGACUGCUAAUACCGCAUAAGCCCACGGGUCGGCAUCGGCCAGAGGGAAAAGGAGCAAUCCGCUUUGAGAUGGCCUCGCGUCCGAUUAGCUAGUUGGUGAGGUAAUGGCCCACCAAGCCGACGAUCAGUAGCCGACCUGAGAGGGUGACCGGCCACAUUGGGACUGAGACACGGCCCAA
rnacentral:rRNA from 1 species